rnacentral:lncRNA from 1 species
CGAAGAGUACUCAUGUGAAGAAAGAUUUAGUAAACAGCAUUGAACAGAUUUGCUAAGUGCUGCAUACCAAGAAGGAUGUGAACAUGCUAGUGUUGGUAACUGCAACUUAUACAGGACAAGGUGUGAGAACUAGAGACCUGAAACACAGAAUAUGAUACAAGGGAACAGACACCUCUAAACCGGGUACUGAAUUAUUUGAUUAAAAGAAUAAUCAUCAUGUAUCAAGUACUGGAAGUAAGAAAUGUGUUGA